AGGGGAGCGGCAGACGGGUGAGUAACGCGUGGGAAUCUACCGUGCCCUACGGAAUAGCUCCGGGAAACUGGAAUUAAUACCGUAUACGCCCUACGGGGGAAAGAUUUAUCGGGGUAUGAUGAGCCCGCGUUGGAUUAGCUAGUUGGUGGGGUAAAGGCCUACCAAGGCGACGAUCCAUAGCUGGUCUGAGAGGAUGAUCAGCCACAUUGGGACUGAGACACGGCCCAA
rnacentral:rRNA from 1 species